UACGUAGGCAGCGAGCGUUUGUUCGGAGUUACUGGGCGUAAAGGGUGUGUAGGCGGUCGUUUUAAGUUUGGUGUGAAAUCUCCCGGCUCAACCGGGAGGGUGCGCCGAAUACUGAAUGCUUGGGAGUGCGGGAGAGGUGAGUGGAAUUCCUGGUGUAGGCGGUGAAAUGCGUAGAUAUCAGGAGGAACACCGGUGGUGUAGACGGCUCAUGGACCGUAACUGACGCUGAGACAGAAAAGCGUGGGGUAGCAAAACAGG
rnacentral:rRNA from 1 species